rnacentral:lncRNA from 1 species
AAUUCCCUUAUUUUCCAGGUGGGCGCCGUAUUACCAAAACUUGAAAUGUAUUCCCUUAUUUUCCAGGAGGGCGCCUGAUUACCAAAACAUGAACUGUAUUCCGUUGUUCUCUAGGUGGGCCCCUGAUUGCCAAAACUUGAACUGUAUUCCCUUAUUCUCCAGGUGGGCGCAUGAUUGCCAAAACUUGAACUGUAUUCCCUUGUUUUCUAGGUGGGCGCCUGAUUGCCAAACCUUGAACUGUAUUCCCUUGUUCUCCAGGUGGGCUCCUGAUUGCCAAAAACUUGAACUGUAUUCCCUUGUUUUCCAGGUUGGCGCCUAAUUGCCAAAAACAUAAACUAUAUUCCCUUGUUCUCUAGGUGGGUGUCUG